rnacentral:misc_RNA from 1 species
GAUGAAGAACGCAGUGAAAUGCGAUAAGUAAUGUGAAUUGCAGAAUUCAGUGAAUCAUCGAAUCUUUGAACGCACAUUGCGCCCGCCAGCAUUCUGGCGGGCAUGCCUGUUCGAGCGUCAUUUCAACCCUCGCAGCCCAUCUGGGCAGCGGUGUUGGGGACCGGCACCACCGGCGAAGCCCUUAGGGGCCCAGCCGGCGCCGCCCCCGAAAUACAGUGGCGGUCUCGCUGCAGCCUCCCUUGCGUAGUAGCACACCUCGCACCGGAGCGCAGCGCGGCCACGCCGUAAAACCCCCGACUUUCUGAGUUUGACCUCGAAUCAGGUAGGAAUACCCGCUGAACUUAAGCAUAUCAAUAAGCGGAGGA